GUAACACUUCUCUCAUAUCUCCAGCUCACGAUAUUUCUCUCGUUGUGAAAAGAACGCAGCCCAGGAAAACCCUAGAAGAACAUGUCGGGUACUUACGGCCACGAAGGCGACGGAUCCGCCGGCGGAGGCUACGGUGGUAGCGGCGGCGGGAACUACGGAGGCGGUGGAGGUUACGGAGGAAGAGGCGGUGGGGGUUACGGAGGCAGCGGUGGCGGCGCAGAGUAUGGAGGUAGCGGCGGAGGCGGUGGUUACGGAGGUAGUGGUGGCGGAGGAGGAGGAUAUGGAGCCGGCGGCGGAGGUUAUGGUGGAGGCGGCGGCGGGAGUCGAGGCGCCGGCGGUGGAUAUGGCGGUAAUUCACAGAAUCGAGGGGGUGGAGGGUAUCAAGGAGGAGAUCGCGGCGGUGGUGGUCGAGGUGGUGGCCGUGGCGGCGGAAGUGGAAGGGAUGGUGACUGGCGUUGCCCCAAUCCCGGCUGUGGGAAUCUGAACUUUGCAAGAAGAGGUGAGUGCAACAAAUGUGGUGCGCUUGCUCCUUCUGGUGCCGGAGAUCAUGGUGGGAGUGCUGGUGGUACUUACAGAGGGGGAAGCGGUGGGGGACAAGGCGGCAGAGGCAGUGGUUAUGAUGGUGGAAGUGGUGGAGGUAGCAGAGGUGGUUCUUAUGGCAAUAAUCAAGGGAGAGAUGAUGGUGGGUACGGACAGGUCCCUCCAGUUGCGCCCCCCUCUUAUGGUGGGCCGGGUGGCAAUUACCCACCACCUAGCGAUAAUUACGGGAAUCCUAGUUAUGGAACGGAUGCAGUUCCUCCACCUACGAGCUAUACUGGUGGACCUAAUUCGUAUCCCCCAUCAUAUGGUGCUCCUGGUGGUUAUGGCGGCGAUGCUAUGGGUGGUGCCCGCAAUGGUGGACGUGGUGGCAGAUCAGGUGGAUAUGACGGUGGCAGGUCUGGUGGAUAUGAUGGUGGCAGGUCUGGUGGAUAUGAUGGUGGGUACGGUGGUAAUCCAAGAAAUGCUGGAGGUGGAUAUGGUGCUGCUCCUGCCGAGGCUCCUCCUGGGGAGGUGAAGCAAUGUGAUGCGAAUUGCGGGGAUUCUUGUGACAAUGCGAGAAUUUACAUCUCAAAUCUACCGCCAGAUGUUACUGUUGAUGAAUUGCAAGAACUUUUUGGAGGCAUUGGACAAGUUGGAAGAAUUAAGCAAAAGAGAGGCUAUAAGGACCAGUGGCCCUGGAAUAUUAAAAUCUACACGGAUGAGCAAGGAAAAAACAAAGGAGAUGCCGCUUUGGCAUAUGAAGAUCCAUCUGCAGCACAUAGUGCUGGCAGUUUCUAUAAUGGUCAUGAGUUGAGGGGUUAUAAGAUAAGUGUUGUAAUGGCUGAGAAGUCAGCUCCUAGGCCCCCUCCUGCAUUUGGCUCAGGGGGUGGUGGUAGAGGUCGAGGUGGAGGUGGAUAUGGGGGUGGUGGAGACAGACGCAGAGACAAUAACAGAGAUGGCGGAGGUUCUGGUCCAGAUAGAAAUUAUCAUGGUGGAAACCGCUCUCGCCCAUACUGAAGUUCAGAGGAGCAAUUUAUGUACUAAAAAUUGUGGUUGAAAUGCUUUAUUAUAUUCUGUUCGCGGGGUUUGUUCUGAUACUGGAGACAAAGAGAGGCAAGUGGAUGUUCUCCAAAUUGCUGCUAACUGCUAAGGUAGGUUGACAUUUUCAGGUGAGUGUUGCUGCAUCUAAAUUGCAUAUCUAUGCUCGUUGGGACUCUCAGCAGCACAUUUGUUUAUUUAUGGCCCACAAACUUGCAUCUUCUCCCUGUGGGGUUGGUUAAAAAGAAAUCAUACUUCAACGUACUGCUUAUCACUUCAUUCCAACACCACCAGGGGAAUGAUGAAUACUAACUUUUCUGAUUUCUAGACUUGUAGUUUAUGGCGUAUCAUAGUUUCUUUCUUGUCGCAAGAUGUAUUCUGCAUCUAAGCUAUUGUAUCUGAUGUGGUUCAUGCCUAUUCUCCUCUUUACCUUGGCUCCUUUCUGAGAAUUAGAAACUUGUAACCAUGGGUGGUUCAAAAGAAUUACAGCGAGGUGAACUCAUUGUCCGACGGGUUUGUUUGAUUUGGUGAAGGAUGGUGUUUCGGUAAAUUUAGGGAAUUUAAAGGAGGGGUUUUCUUUACUUUUGCCUACUGUUUAUUUAGGCGUAGAAAGUGCAUAUCGGCCCUUGUGUGCUUGUGCUCUGAGGUGUUUUAGCCAACUUGUGAUCUUAAGCUCUUGCUUCAAUUCUUCUCUUCCAAAGGGUUGUGUGUAAUGACUUCCCAAAUUUCUUAUGCUUUUCUUCUGAAGCCAUCACAAAGGUGCCUGCCACUUUGGAUGGGAUUUCCUUUCCUUCAUCUUUUUCACUGCAGUUUCUAUUGCCAUUUUUCGGCGGACUAUUUUGUAUUAAGAUGGUUAUUUGUGGUGGGUGGUCGACUUGGUAAACCGUCCCCAUUCGUAGAGCUUUUUAUGUUUAAUACAUAAUUAUUAUGAGUUACUACUUGCACAUUUAUCUCGAGACAACUAAUUUCUUAGGGAUUGUGAUUCUCACCCCUCUUAAGGUCAACUUGUUUCUAUGAUGGCUUUGGAUUGCCUUAUAGGAUGUUUUAGCAACUUUCCAGCUAUGGCAAUGCCUGUAGUUUUGUGCGGCAAAAUUUAUAUUCUAUGCCUGUAGUUUUGUGCGGCAACUUUCCAGCUAUGGCAAUGCCUGUAGUUUUGUGCCAACUUUAACGCUUGGCAAUUGAUAAUGGUUGGUUAAAGUUCUUAAUGUGAUUUUUUUUGUGGGUCUUUUAUGAAUGUUAUCACCAUAAUGGAUUCCUCU